CACAUGUGACGAGUUUGAUCCUGGCUACAGAACGAACGCUGGCGGCAUGCCUAACACAUGCAAGUCGAACGAGACUUCGGUCUAGUGGCGGACGGGUGAGUAACGCGUAGGAACCUGCCAAGCAGUGGGGAGUAACAGCUGGAAACGGCUGCUAAUACCGCAUACGCCCUUCGGGGGAAAGAUUUAUCGCUGUUUGAGGGUCCUGCGUUCGAUUAGUUAGUUGGUGAGGUAACGGCCCACCAAGGCGACGAUCGAUAGCUGGUCUGAGAGGAUGAUCAGCCACACUGGGACUGAGACACGGCCCAGACUCCUACGGGAGGCAGCAGUGGGGAAUAUUGGACAAUGGGGGAAACCCUGAUCCAGCAAUGCCGCGUGCGUGAAGAAGGCCUUAGGGUUGUAAAGCGCUUUCACCUGUGAUGAUGAUGACAGUAGCAGGAGAAGAAGCCCCGGCUAACUCCGUG
rnacentral:rRNA from 1 species